CAAACCAAUUGAGAAAGAAGUCGAUGGAAGGACUGGAGGAGGAGAAAGAUUUGCAAUUAGAACUAGAUUCGAUGGAACACACAUUGGAUAAUGCAGGAAAUGAUUAAUAGGGUGGGCCAGAGGAAAUAGUAACUUUGUAGAGUUUUGUUAAGUAGUUUUUAGAUAGGAAUCAAUUGCGUGUUUGUAAGGGCACUACACAAUUAGGAGUGGGGCUAUGUAGAAUAUGUAAAUAAAUUUUGUGAUAAGUUACUGGUUGGUUAUUGACAACCUGAAGAAUUAGACUUAUGGUUAAGUAGUUUAGUUGGUAACAAUAGGUUGUUAGUAGAACAAAUGGUUAAGAAUUCAAAGGGUCAUAACCUUUGGAAUCUGUUGG
rnacentral:lncRNA from 1 species